UUUGUUCGUGUACCUAUAUGCACGCCAUUAUACACACGGACCGUGAGCAGCUGAAAAUCAUUUGGUUUGACAACUGUUUGCGCACAUUUCGUAAAAUUUAUCGGAAAUUUGAUAGCUAUUUUCAAAGCACAGGUUUUUAAAAAUGUCAUCGCACCUUUUGCAGAUGGUACUUGGCGGUCUGCAGAUAUUUGACGAAAAAUAGGUAUAACAAAGUAAACAAAUUUAGUUUUUAAUUGUGUACAGAAAUUUCCUUAUAAUAAUAUUACGUAUGUUAAGUUUUAAAGAUUAUACUUAAAAACGAAAUGUAUAAUAUUUUAUUCUUUGCUGGGCCUAAGUCAAUUGAAAUUAUAUUGCGUAAUACUUGAUAUUAAUGUAUUAUUAUUAUACGAAGUAAAUUAUUUUAACUUUUUUUUUAGGACACUGUUGACGGUAUCUUACAACAUCUCGUUGUGUUAAGAUUGAUUUUAUUGUUCGUAUUUUCUCAAAAAACGAAUUACAUACACAUUCCACUUAUGAAUCCUUCGUUAGUAGGUUUAUCGACAUUCGACAAAAUAUAUGCGUGGUAAUAUGAAUUUUCCUGGGUUUAUACACAUGGACUACAAUUAGGAGCAACGGGACCAGUGACAAAUACAAUUUUGUCCGUACAUUUAAAAAGGAAAACAAUAUUUUUAAAUAAUCUAAAUAUCGGACGAUAUUAAAUGAUUCAAAGAUGAAAUAACCAUAAUAUCAAUUGUCUGAACACCGUUAUAGGCGAAUUUUCCAGCAGAUAUUCACAUUUCACACAGCAAAAUUUCCAAAAAACUUCGGUCAUAUACCCACGACUAUUCUCGUUAUAUUAAUUGUAUACUAUCUAUUUGUAUUGUUUUGUAUAAUAUAAUAACAUAUUAUGUAAUACGAUUUUAAUUGUUUUAGACAAAGAUGAAUUAUUCGUACGAUAAGGCUCAUACGAUGAUACGUGUAAUUCGAUAAUCGUUAUAAAUUAUUACACUGCCAACGCUGCCGUAAGUACCGCUAUAACACAUUAUAUGAUUGUUAUUGUUAUUGUUGUUGUUGUUGUCACGCAUUGUUGUAUACUAUUAUGUGCGUUUCUUAUCCCUAAAAUUCGUAACUGUAUAAUAUUACACUGGGAGUAUAAUUAUUGUAUACCUAGUAGUAAAUGUGUUAUUGAAGGACUUUAAUAAGAACCUAGAAAGUAUGUAGGUAUUUUAGGGUGACGCAGAAUAACGCGGCAUUCAGACGUUACCUAUUAAAAAAAAUUAUAAAUGUGGUGCAAAACGUCGGUCAAGUUUCGUGAUGUGAUCUUUAACAAUGCUGAUGUAGGUUUUACACUUUUAAAUGUUUGAUUUUUUCACACUGAGCUUUUAAAAAUUUUUUUUUUUUAAAGUUAAGGUUUCAACAUCCGAUGUCAUUAGCAUGGGUUGUUUAGUAGGUUUUAUAUUACUGUGGGGGAGGGUACGGUUGGUUUAGAACACGUGUAUGUGUAAAAACCCGGGUGGUCACCGAACUAGUGGCACCGGCCGGUGCUGGCGCUCAGAGCACAUCCAAACACCGCACCACUCUGCGUUUAUAAUCUAUAGUAACACGCGCCGUAUUCGCAUACAUCAUUGAAUCGUAUCAAAUUAUAUUUUGAAAUUGAUUAAUAUCAAAAGGUACAUCCGAAUUCGUGUGAUUCAUUUUAAAAGAGUACGCCACACCCUUUAGUGUUUAUAAAUAAUUAUCGCUAACACAAAACAAAUCGGAAAUUAAUUAUUAUAAUUAUAAUAUUAUUACAUAGUUAAUUAUAUAGUGUACUAUAUAUUAUAUUGUUUAUAUUAACAGUUAACACAAAUAUAAAUUAUAAUUAAAAAAAAAAAGAAAAAUGUCUUGACUGCCUGUAGUGAGUUUACAUACAAAGCGUAUAUUGAGC